rnacentral:rRNA from 1 species
GAUGAACGCUGGCGGCGUGCCUAAUACAUGCAAGUCGAGCGAACAGACGAGGAGCUUGCUCCUCUGACGUUAGCGGCGGACGGGUGAGUAAAACGGGGAUAACCUACCUUUAAGACUGGGAUAACUUCGGGAAACCGAAGUUAAUACGGGUAAAUUAUUGAAACCCAAGGUUUAAUAAGGAAAAACCGUUUUUCCUUUCACUUAUAAUGGAAUCCGGGCCGCAUUAGCUAGUUGGUAAGGUAACGGCUUACCAAGGCAACGAUGCGUAGCCGACCUGAGAGGGUGAUCGGCCACACUGGAACUGAGACACGGUCCAGACUCCUACGGGAGGCAGCAGUAGGGAAUCUUCCGCAAUGGGCGAAAGCUUGACGGAGCAACGCCGCGUGAGUGAUGAAGGUCUUCGGAUCGUAAAACUCUGUUAUUAGGGAAGAACAAAUGUGUAAGUAACUAUGCACGUCUUGACGGUACCUAAUCAGAAAGCCACGGCUAACUACGUG